GACGAACGCUGGCGGCGUGCCUAAUACAUGCAAGUCGAACGCAUUUUCUUUCACCGUAGCUUGCUACACCGAAAGAAAAUGAGUGGCGAACGGGUGAGUAACACGUGGGUAACCUGCCCAUCAGCGGGGGAUAACACUUGGAAACAGGUGCUAAUACCGCAUAAUUCCAUUUACCGCAUGGUAGAUGGAUGAAAGGCGCUUUUGCGUCACUGAUGGAUGGACCCGCGGUGCAUUAGCUAGUUGGUGGGGUAACGGCCUACCAAGGCUGCGAUGCAUAGCCGACCUGAGAGGGUGGUCGGCCACACUGGGAAUGGGACACGGCCCAGACUCCUACGGGAGGCAGCAGUAGGGAAUCUUCGGCAAUGGACGCAAGUCUGACCGAGCAACGCCGCGUGAGUGAGGAAGGGUUUCGGAUCGUAAAACUCUGUUGUUAGAGAAGAACAAGGAUGAGAGUGGAAAGUUCAUCCCUUGACGGUAUCUAACCAGAAAGCCACGGCUAACUACGUG
rnacentral:rRNA from 1 species